rnacentral:rRNA from 1 species
GAAUCGGAAGGUUCGGUGGAGCGGUAGGAAGUGAGAAUGCUGGAAUGAGUAACCAUAAGAGAGGUGAGAAUCCUCUCGGCCGUAAGAGCAAGGUUUCCUGAGCCAUGGUAAUCAUCUCAGGGUUAGUCGGGCCUAAGCCGAGGCGCAGAGCGUAGGCGAUGGACAUCAGGUUAAUAUUCCUGAACCGGUUAAGUUUUGUACACUGUUCACGGGGAAGUAAUCGAAGCGGAUUCAUGGUUUAUCCGUCCAACCGAGCGGGAACGCAAAGGGAGUGAAAGUGAUUCUUCGGAGUCGCGAUUUUGGUGAAAGCCCUGGCUAGAAAAGCAGGUGUACGCGUGGACUUAGCCGCCCGUACCGCAAACCAACACAGGUGCUCGAGUCGAGUAGACUCAGGCUUACGAGCGAACCUUCGCUAAGGAACUCGGCAAUACAGCGACCGUAACUUCGGGAUAAGGUCUGCCCCCACUUCGGUGGAUAUCAGCCGCGUUCACUCAGUGAAUAUUAGGUUAAAGAGUACAUUUUUAAUCACAAAACGAAUUUUCUGAGAUAGAGCAAACGAAUUGUUCUUUUGAACGCGAACCUCUGGCAUCUAACGAUGUGGGGGCCGCAGCAAAAGAGCCCACGGAACUGUUUAUCAAAAACACAGGUCUCUGCUAACACGAAAGUGGAUGUAUAGGGGCUGACUCCUGCCCAAUGCUGGAAGGUUAAGGGGAGCGCUUCACGGUGCGAACUGAAGCCCUAGUCAAUGGCGGCGGUAACUAUAACCGUCCUAAGGUAGCGAAAUUCCUUGUCAGGUAAGUUCUGACCCGCACGAAUGGAGUAAUCAUGUGGGCACUGUCUCAGCGAAGGACUCGGUGAAAGUGCAUUGGCGGUAAAGAUGCCGUCUGUCCGUACCAGGACGAAAAGACCCCAUGGAGCUUUACUACAGCUUUACAUUGAAUAUGGUUUCAACAUGUGUAGCAUAGGUGGGAGACUUUGAAGCAGAUACGCCAGUAUUUGUGGAGUCACCAAGUGAAAUACCACCCUUGUUGUGAUUGUGUUCUCACGCUGACCGUUAUCCGGUUAGCGGACCGUGUAUGGUGGGUAGUUUAACUGGGGCGGUUGCCUCCUAAAGAGUAGCGGAGGCGUUCAAAGGUUGGCUAACUUCGGAUGGAAAUCGAAGUGAUAGUGUAUGCGCAUAAGCCAGCUUGACUGUGAGGAGUACAUUCCAAUCAGAGACGAAAGUCGGAGCAAGUGAUCCGCUGUACGUACAUUUGUACAUGAAUGUGGGAUCGACAGCGCAAACGGAUAAAAGUUACCCUGGGGAUAACAGGCUUAUAGCGCCCAAUAGUUCACAUAGACGGCGCUGUUUGGCACCUCGAUGUCGGCUCAUCACAUCCUGGAGGGGGAGCACCUCGCCGAUUAAAGUGGUACGCGAGCUGGGUUCAGAACGUCGUGAGACAGUUCGGUUUAUAUCCGGUAUGGACGAUAGGAAACUUGAGAGGAUCUACCCCUAGUACGAGAGGACCGGGGCGGACGCACCUCUGGUGUAUCGAUUGUGGCCACCUGCUGCAUUGUCGAGUAGCUAUGUGCGGACUAGAUAAGCGCUGAAAGCAUAUUAAGCGCGAAACUAACCUCAAGAUAAGGUUUCCCUAUGAGGACACAGAAAGACUAUCUGUUUGAUAGGCGCAAGGUGGAAGUACAGUAAUGUAUGGAGCUAAAGCGUACUAAUAGUCCCAUUGCCUUUUUA